AUGCUGUUUCUUGAUUUCUUCAUUUCUUGGAUAUCAUGCAUCUUGGUUUUUUUCACUCUAAUUUUAAAUGACUGAAAAGCACAUUGGCUUUCAUUGGGGAAUGGGGACAUCAAUUUCUUCCCGUUUCUGCACGCAAACUUUUGCAAAAAGAAUUUCUGUAGAAAUCUCAUAUGGGGAGGGAGGCUAUGUAUUUAAGUUGAAGUAAAGUUAGCACUUAGAUGUAUUUCCUGUGA
rnacentral:misc_RNA from 1 species